rnacentral:rRNA from 1 species
UAGGUGAAGUCAAUGAUCCCAUGCUGCCAAGAAAAGCCUCUAGCGAGCUUCGAGCGGCCCGUACCCCAAACCGACACAGGUGGUCAGGUAGAGAAUACCGAGGCGAUCGGGCGAACUGUGGUUAAGGAACUCGGCAAAUUACCCCCGUAACUUCGGGAGAAGGGGGGCCACAGACUGUCAUACCCCACGCGGGUGGCAGCAGUAGGUGGCCGCAGAGACCAGGGGGAAGCGACUGUUUACUAAAAACACAGGUCCGUGCGAAGUCGUAAGACGAUGUAUACGGACUGACGCCUGCCCGGUGCUGGAACGUUAAGGGGACCGGUUAGUCCGCAAGGGCGAAGCUGAGAACUUAAGCGCCAGUAAACGGCGGUGGUAACUAUAACCAUCCUAAGGUAGCGAAAUUCCUUGUCGGGUAAGUUCCGACCUGCACGAAUGGCGUAACGACUUCCCUACUGUCUCAACCACAGGCCCGGCGAAAUUGCACUACGAGUAAAGAUGCUCGUUACGCGCGGAAGGACGGAAAGACCCCGGGACCUUCACUAUAGCUUGACAUUGGUAUCCGAAUUUAAUUGUGUAGGAUAGGUGGGAGGCUUUGAUCCGCGGACGCCAGUCCGUCGGGGAGCCAACGUUGAAAUACCACUCUGUUGACUUUGGGUAUCUAACUUCGGACCGUGAUCCGGUUCAGGGACAGUGUCUGGUGGGUAGUUUAACUGGGGCGGUUGCCUCCUAAAAUGUAACGGAGGCGCCCAAAGGUUCCCUCAGCCUGGUUGGCAAUCAGGUGUUGAGUGCAAGUGCACAAGGGAGCUUGACUGUGAGACUGACAGGUCGAGCAGGGACGAAAGUCGGGACUAGUGGUCCGGCACCUGCGAGUGGAAGCGGUGUCGCUCAACGGAUAAAAGGUACCCCGGGGAUAACAGGCUGAUCUUCCCCAAGAGUCCAUAUCGACGGGAUGGUUUGGCACCUCGAUGUCGGCUCGUCGCAUCCUGGGGCUGGAGUAGGUCCCAAGGGUUGGGCUGUUCGCCCAUUAAAGCGGCACGCGAGCUGGGUUUAGAACGUCGUGAGACAGUUCGGUCCCUAUCCUCCGCGCGCGUAGGAGACUUGAGAAGAGCUGUCCCUAGUACGAGAGGACCGGGACGGACGAACCUCUGGUGUGCCAGUUGUCAUGCCAAUGGCACGGCUGGUUAGCUACGUUCGGAAGGGAUAACCGCUGAAAGCAUCUAAGCGGGAAGCUCGCUUCAAGAUGAGGUCUCCCACCCCUUAGAGGGUUAAGGCCCCCAGCUAGACCACUGGGUUGAUAGGCCAGAAGUGUAAGCCUGGUAACAGGUUCAGCCGACUGGUACUAAUAGGCCGAGGACUUCACC